CGAUGGGUGGGGGUGGGGGGGAGCAUAAAACAUCUCAUAAAAAGGCUCGGAGUCCUGCUGGACAUCAAAGGCUCUCGAGGAGCUGGCUGCGGAUGAGUUCAGGGUAAAGGAAUCGUCCGCAGAUGGAUGAAAUUCCCCAUUCAUGCUGCAUCCGCCAGAGCUCAGGAGAAAACUCCACACAGCACGGCCCCAGUUCAACGAGCUGGAAAAUGCUCUGAGUCACGGAGGGACCCCAAAGGCAAUCAGCUGUGCCCCGCAUCUCAUAUCUUCUUUCCUCUGUGGAAAGACCUGCGCUAGAGGAAACUGGCUGUGCUCAUUCGGACGGGCUGGCCCCAAACCACCGCGGUCACCCGUUCCUUUCCCCUCCUAGGUCCCUGCAGCUGGCGCUCAGCCCCCGCGCAGCUGGGUGCCCUCCCCCAUGUCUGCCCCUCCUCACCCUCCCCUACUGCCACCCUCAGGCUGUAGUCCUACUGCCCCCUCGGACCCCUGCAACAGCAUCCAGGCCUCCCGGAGGGGAGAGGGCCGGCAGGAGGGUCUCCGUCCGCCGCCCAGCAGGGAUCCAGCUUCGCCUUCCCCAGGCCUUCCUCCUCAGCUAGGUCUGUCCUGCUUGGGCUCCUGCUGCCCGCAGGGCACCCUCCCCGGGCCACAGAAGCUGAAGGCCUCCCUCCCCAGGCAAGGCCUCCUGCUAUGGAAGGACCCCCAAAAGCCCCCUUCCAGGACCCACUGUGCUCAUCCCAGCCCACCUCGCAGGUCACCUCCUUUAUAUUCUAAACAUCUGUUCCUCUUCCAGAUUCAUCACAGCGUGCCAAGGCCUCUCCGAGAUGCCUGCCCCCAGGAAGCCCUGGCCCCACCAUCAUCACCCCUCUCUGUGGCUGGGCCUGCAUCUUGUGGAGUUCGGGCAAGUUCUGAUUUGCCUAGAGGACCCAGCAGUGCCGGUCCUGCUGUCGAUCACCCUGCCUCCUCUGAGGUUCUGAGGAGAGAAGCACAAAGCACAGUAACAGGGUGGCCAUGGACACCUCACCCAUGUCCCACUCCAGGAACAAAGGGCUCAUUUCCCUGCCACUGGGGUUGCUGGGCCGUCAGCUGUCCCUGCCCUCCCCAGGUGGAGGGAGAGCCACCCCACCCGAGGGCACGCCCCUUCCUCAGGGGGACCACGUCAACCACUGAGGGAUACAAGGGCUGGGGUCACAUCUUCAGGGCGCCUCUCAGAGUUGGCGAGGCCUUUGUGGGGACAGCCUGGCUGCUGAACGCCUCCCUCUGGCCACUCUUGCGUCAUCCCUUCCGUCCACAGGUGUGUGUCCCCAAAACCGCUCCUGAUAAACUUUCCGUGGCAGAUCUCCAUCACAACUGGCUUCCUGGGGAACCCCCUGUGACAUAAGCCAAACAGGAAACCAAGAAAGAGCCGCUGUGUUAAAAACUUGUCUCUUGUCCGGUGUCUCCAUGCACAGUUCCAGGAGAGCUGGUUCCAGAACGUGUUUUAAUCCUAGGGACAGGGAGCUUCCUACCACCCCCUAAACAGGCAUCCAAAUCUGUCUGGCCGGCCACGUGCAAGCCCACGCACUCAGUCAGCGUGAGAGAAGAAAACAGUCCAGGACAAGGCAGAGCCCUCUUCCUGGGCCACGAGAGACAGAAGACCACAGAAAGAAGGCAGCCCGUCCACCGCACACCUCUAAGUGGGCUGGAUCCUGCCUGAUGACACAUGUGGCCCGUUGGUGGGUUUUCCAUCUGACUGGGACAGUAGCCCCUGACUUGGAGCUGAACCCGAGCCACACAAGUUAAGUUCCAGCCUCGACUUCAGAGACUACUGUUAAGUGGAUAGUCAUUUUAGUCCUAGGAGUCUCGGUUUUCUCGUCUAUAAAAUGUCACCAAUGGCCCCAUCCUGCCUAUCUCCUGGGGUUGGGGUGAGGAUGCCCCAGAGAACGUGUUGGGAAAGCUUUGUAAGCCCUGAGGAGGUGCACAAAAGCGGAAGCCUACCGUUACGGUGAUGUUGAACUGUUUCCCACAGCUCGUCUGGCCUCCCUUUCCAGAUGUCACCUCCAGGGAGGGCUGGAGUCAGGCGCUGCUCACUUGGGUUUCCCUCCAGCCAGCAGAGCCAGCCGGGACACAGGUGGUGGCCAAAGCUGGCUGGAUGAAGGAAGGAAGGACGGAAGGAUCCAAGCACCCUUGCCUUUUUCCCCAGGCCCAGAGGCACACAGACAGCUAUGAGGGCCACCGUGACGUGGAGUCCAGCCCAGCCGUGAGGAGACCUCACCUGCCGUCCCUCUCUGUAAUCCUUCACGCCUUGCAGAUUGGUUUCUGUGCUGUCUGUGGUUAGGCUGAGACUCAGGAAGGGAAAAGGAAAAGGGGACCACGGUCACUGAGCCCAGGCACUCUGAGGACUUCACCUCACCGAUGGCUCCCAGCGCCCAGGGCCACCACUCCUCAAUGUCCAGCCUGGACACUGCACCGGGACGCCCAGCUGAGACUGUGGGGGCUCAAGUCCAGCCUGCAGUCCACUCGCCAAGCCCCGCGCCCAGGAGGGCACUUUCUUCUCAUUCAUACGAAGGUCGGGGCUGGCAAACUUUUUCUUAAAGGGCCUGAUCAGUAUUUUAGGCUCGUAAACAACAUGGUCUGUGACAACUACCCAGCUUGCUGUGGCUGCAAAAAAAAGCCUCCAUAAAUAAGAUGUAAACAAAUGUGAGUGGCUGUGUUCCAACACAAUUGUAUUUACAGAACAGUUCGUUCAUGUUACUUAACAUGUAAGAAAGUUUUUGGAAUUAAGAUUAACAAAAAGCGUUCUUUGAUCAACCAUUGAACAAAGAUGGAUUGUCGAAUCUGGCUGUACGGUCCACUGAAGAGCAGCAUUCAAACAAGUUCAAUUCUGAUGAAGUCACUGACACACUUGCAGAAGCCAAGGCUGGAAACCAGAAACUGUCAUGUUCUUCAUUACUGGGACAGAACAAUAUUUAGGUAAAAUUCUUUUCCCUUUUUUGGAAAAAAAAAAUGCAGCUCCCGGGUCUCUGCUCAGGUACGCUGUCAUUCUGUGUGCCUGUCAGUCUCUCCAAUUUGGGGGGCAGCGUUUGCCCUGUGACCUCACUUCUCUGAGAGAUGUAAGAAAGCUGUUGGCUUUUCAGUUCGUUCAGCUUUUUACUCGUUAGGAUGGAGUGGGGACUUCUAAGCUCCUUAAAUGCCAGCCCAGAAACCAUAUGGCCAAUCCUUUUCUCCUCUUUUUUACUGGAUAUUAAUUUUCUUUUUUAUUUAAAAAAUGUUUAC
ensembl:lncRNA